rnacentral:rRNA from 1 species
GACGAACGCUGGCGGCGUGCCUAAUACAUGCAAGUCGAGCGAAGUUUUUCUGGUGCUUGCACUAGAAAAACUUAGCGGCGAACGGGUGAGUAACACGUAAAGAACCUGCCUCAUAGACUGGGACAACUAUUGGAAACGAUAGCUAAUACCGGAUAACAGCAUUAACUGCAUGGUUGAUCUUUAAAAGUUGGUUUUGCUAACACUAUGAGAUGGCUUUGCGGUGCAUUAGCUAGUUGGUGGGGUAAAGGCCUACCAAGGCGACGAUGCAUAGCCGACCUGAGAGGGUGAUCGGCCACACUGGGACUGAGACACGGCCCAGACUCCUACGGGAGGCAGCAGUAGGGAAUCUUCCGCAAUGGGCGAAAGCCUGACGGAGCAACGCCGCGUGAGUGAAGAAGGAUUUCGGUUCGUAAAGCUCUGUUGUUAGGGAAGAAUGAUUGUGUAGUAACUAUACACAGUAGAGACGGUACCUAACCAGAAAGCCACGGCUAACUACGUG